UACGGAGGGAGCUAGCGUUGUUCGGAAUUACUGGGCGUAAAGCGCGCGUAGGCGGCUUUGUAAGUUAGAGGUGAAAGCCCGGGGCUCAACCCCGGAAUUGCCUUUAAGACUGCAUCGCUUGAAUCCGGGAGAGGUGAGUGGAAUUCCGAGUGUAGAGGUGAAAUUCGUAGAUAUUCGGAAGAACACCAGUGGCGAAGGCGGCUCACUGGACCGGCAUUGACGCUGAGACGCGAAAGCGUGGGGAGCAAACAGG
rnacentral:rRNA from 1 species